rnacentral:misc_RNA from 1 species
UAGAGGUAGACGCUUGGCC